rnacentral:rRNA from 1 species
ACUCCUACGGGAGGCAGCAGUGGGGAAUAUUGCACAAUGGGGGAAACCCUGAUGCAGCCAUGCCGCGUGUGUGAAGAAGGCCUUCGGGUUGUAAAGCACUUUCAGCAGUGAGGAAGGUGGUAGUGUUAAUAGCACUAUCAUUUGACGUUAGCUGCAGAAGAAGCACCGGCUAACUCCGUGCCAGCAGCCGCGGUAAUACGGAGGGUGCGAGCGUUAAUCGGAAUUACUGGGCGUAAAGCGCAUGCAGGUGGUUUGUUAAGUCAGAUGUGAAAGCCCGGGGCUCAACCUCGGAAUUGCAUUUGAAACUGGCAGACUAGAGUACUGUAGAGGGGGGUAGAAUUUCAGGUGUAGCGGUGAAAUGCGUAAGAGAUCUGAAGGAAUACCGGUGGCGAAGGCGGCCCCCUGGACAGAUACUGACACUCAGAUGCGAAAGCGUGGGGAGCAAACAGGAUUAGAUACCCUGGU